ACUAAAGUUAUUGGCAAAUUUCCAAUGGAAUUUAUUAAUAAUAAAGUUUUUGGCAAAUUUCCAAUAUACAUAAUUUAAAAGCAGUUUAGGUGAGAUAAACAAAAAAGCUUCAUCAGCAACAUUUUAUAUUGGCAAAUUUCCAAUGAAGUUCAUUAAACUAAAGUUAUUGGCAAAUUUCCAAUCGAAUUUAUUAAUAAUAAAGUUUUUGGCAAAUUUCCAAUAUACAUAAUUUAAAAGCAGUUUAGGUGAGAUAAACAAAAAAGCUUCAUCAGCAACAUUUUAUAUUGGCAAAUUUCCAAUGAAGUUCAUUAAACUAAAGUUAUUGGCAAAUUUCCAAUCGAAUUUAUUAAUAAUAAAGUUUUUGGCAAAUUUCCAAUAUACAUAAUUUAAAAGCAGUUUAGGUGAGAUAAACAAAAAAGCUUCAUCAGCAACAUUUUAUAUUGGCAAAUUUCCAAUGAAGUUCAUUAAACUAAAGUUAUUGACAAAUUUCCAAUGAAAUUUAUUAAUAAUAAAGUUUUUGGCAAAUUUCCAAUAUACAUAAUUUAAAAGCAGUUUAGGUGAGAUAUUCAAAUGAGUUUCAAUUACCAACCUUACACUGCCUUUUAAAUUAUGUUUUGUACUUAAGUAAUUGUCCAUUAACCUGGAAACCCUUUUCCCCCCUUUUUUGCACCUUAUUCCUUAACGGUUUGAGCCAUAACUCCCAAAGACAAUUCUUACCAUCCCUUUGUGGUAUUCCAAUAUCCAAUAUCUAAAUACAUGGUUAGAUUCAGCAUAUCAAAGAACCCCAAGAAUUCAAUUUUGAUGAAAUCAAAUAAAGUUCAAUUUUGGACCCUUUAAACCUCAAUGUGGACCAAUUUGAUAACUGGGCCCAAAUAUCAAAAAUCUAAAUACAUGAUAAGAUUCAGCAUAUCGAAGAACCCCAUAUAUUCAAUUUUUGUUGAAAUCAAAGUUUAAUUUUGAACCCCGAUUUGGACCAACUUGAAAACUGGGCCCAUAAUAAAACAAGAGUGCACACGCUGAAAUGUCUCGCCUUCUUUACUAACCAUUGAUAUUAUGUUGAUAGUCCUAAAUGAAAGCUUUACUACAACUAUUACAUAAACUUAACAUGAUCCAAGAAAAUGAAGUCAAGGUCAUAUAAACCAAACGAGAAAUACAUGUACACCUUACAAUCAUUCAAUACACUAAAUAUAGUUGACCUAUUGCUUAUAGUUUCUAAGAAACAGACUUAACCAAGAAAACUAAACAUUGACCAAUGAAUCGUGAAAAUGAGGUCAAGGUCAGAUGUACCAUGCCAGACAGACAUGAACAGCUUACAAUCCUUCCAUACAACAAAUAUAGCUGACCUAUUGCUUAUAGUUUAUGAAUAAAAACAGACUGAUACACAUAAACUUAACACUGAGCAAUGAACCGUGAAAAUGAGGUCAAGGUCAAAUAAAACAUGCGAGACUGACAUGUACAUCAUAGAAUAUUUCCAUACACCAAAUAUAGUUGACUUAUUGCAUAUAGUAUAAGAAAAAAGACCAAAACUCAAAAACUUAACUUUGACCACUGAACCAUGAAAAUAAGGUCAAAGUCAGAUGACACCUGCCAGUUGGACAUGUACACCUUACAAUCAUUCCAUACACCAAAUAUAGUAGACCUAUUACAUAAAGUAUAAGAAAAACGGACCAAAACACAAAAACUUAACUAUACCCACUGAACCAUGAAAAUGAGGUCAAGGUCAGAUGACACCUGCCAGCUAGACAUGUACACCUUACAAUCAUUCCAUACACCAAAUAUAGUAGACCUAUUGCAUACAGUAUAAGAAAAACAGACCAAAACACAAAAACUUAACUAUAACCACUGAACCAUGAAAAUGAGGUCAAGGUCAGAUGACACCUGCCAGUUGGACAUGUACACCUUACAGUCCUUCCAUACACCGAAUAUACUAGACCUAUUGCUUAUAGUAUCUCAGAUAUGGACUUGACCACCAAAACUUAACCUUGUUCACUGAUUCAUGAAAUGAGGUCGAGGUCAAGUGAAAACUGUCUGACAGGCAUGAGGACCUUGCAAGGUACGCACAUACCAAAUAUAGUUAUCAUAUUACUUAUAAUAAGAGAGAAUUUAACAUUACAAAAAAUGUUAACUUUUUUUUCAAGUAGUCACUGAACCAGGAAAAUGAGGUCAAGGACAUUGGACAUGUGACUGACGGAAACUUCGUAACAUGAGGCAUCCAUAUACAAAGUAUGAAGCAUCCAGGUCUUCCACCUUCUAAAAUAUAAAGCUUUUAAGAAGUUAGCUAACGCCGCCGCAGCCGCCGGAUCACUAUCCCUAUGUCGAGCUUUCUGCAACAAAAGUCGCAGGCUCGACAAAAAUUAAGUACAUGUUUAGAUUCAGCAUAUCAAAGAACCCCAAGAAUUCAAUUUUUGUUAAAAUCAAA